rnacentral:rRNA from 1 species
AGCAUAUCAAUAAGCGGAGGAAAAGAAACCAACAGGGAUUGCCCUAGUAACGGCGAGUGAAGCGGCAACAGCUCAAAUUUGAAAUCUGGCCCUCGCGGUCCGAGUUGUAAUUUGUAGAGGAUGCUUUGGGCGCGGCGCCUUCCAAGUUCCCUAGAACGGGACGCCUUAGAGGGUGAGAGCCCCGUACGGUUGGACGCCUAGCCUAUGUAUAGCUCCUUCGACGAGUCGAGUAGUUUGGGAAUGCUGCUCUAAAUGGGAGGUAAAUUUCUUCUAAAGCUAAAUACCGGCCAGAGACCGAUAGCGCACAAGUAGAGUGAUCGAAAGAUGAAAAGUACUUUGAAAAGAGGGUUAAAUAGCACGUGAAAUUGUUGAAAGGGAAGCGUUUGCGACCAGACCUUUUCCAGGCGGAUCAUCCGGCGUUCUCGCCGGUGCACUUCGCCUGGUUUAGGCCAGCAUCGGUUUUCCCAGGGGGAUAAAGGCGGCGGGAACGUAGCUCUUUCGGGAGUGUUAUAGCCCGCCGCGUAAUACCCUUGGGGGGACCGAGGACCGCGCUUCGGCAAGGAUGCUGGCGUAAUGGUCGUCAACGACCCGUCUUGAAACACGGACCAAGGAGUCGAACAUUUGUGCGAGUGUUUGGGUGUCAAACCCUCACGCGUAAUGAAAGUGAACGGAGGUGAGAGCCCCUCGCGGGUGCAUCAUCGACCGAUCCUGAUGUCUUCGGAUGGAUUUGAGUAAGAGCAUAACUGUUCGGACCCGAAAGAUGGUGAACUAUGCGUGGAUAGGGUGAAGCCAGAGGAAACUCUGGUGGAGGCUCGCAGCGGUUCUGACGUGCAAAUCGAUCGUCAAAUCUGCGCAUGGGGGCGAAAGACUUAUCGAACCAUCUAGUAGCUGGUUACCGCCGAAGUUUCCCUCAGGAUA